GACUACAUGAAGCUGGAAUCGCUAGUAAUCGCGGAUCAGAAUGCCGCGGUGAAUACGUUCCCGGGUCUUGUACACACCGCCCGUCACACCAUGGGAGCCGGUAACGCCCGAAGUCAGUGACCCAACCGAGAGGAGGGAGCUGCCGAAGGCGGGACAGGUAACUGGGGUGAAGUCGUAACAAGGUAAC
rnacentral:rRNA from 1 species